GGACGAACGCUGGCGGCGUGCCUAACACAUGCAAGUCGAGCGGAGACAGUAGCAAUAUUGUCUUAGCGGCGGACGGGUGAGUAACGCGUGGGUAACCUGCCUUGAACAGGGGGAUAACACUGGGAAACUAGUGCUAAUACCGCAUAACACAUUCGUGUGGCAUCACAAGAAUGUCAAAGGAGUAAUCCGGUUUGAGAUGGACCCGCGUCCGAUUAGCUAGUUGGUGGUGUAACGGACCACCAAGGCGACGAUCGGUAGCCGAACUGAGAGGUUGAUCGGCCACAUUGGGACUGAGACACGGCCCAGACUCCUACGGGAGGCAGCAGUGGGGAAUAUUGGACAAUGGGCGCAAGCCUGAUCCAGCCAUGCCGCGUGGGUGAUGAAGGCCCUAGGGUUGUAAAGCCCUUUCGGCGGGGAAGAUAAUGACGGUACCCGCAGAAGAAGCCCCGGCUAACUUCGUGCCAGCAGCCGCGGUAAUACGAAGGGGGCUAGCGUUGCUCGGAAUCACUGGGCGUAAAGCGCACGUAGGCGGAUUGCUAAGUCAGGGGUGAAAUCCUGGAGCUCAACUCCAGAACUGCCUUUGAUACUGAGGAUCUUGAGUUCGGGAGAGGUGAGUGGAACUGCGAGUGUAGAGGUGAAAUUCGUAGAUAUUCACAAGAACACCAGUGGCGAAGGCGGCUCACUGGCCCGAUACUGACGCUGAGGCACGAAAGCGUGGGGAGCAAACAGGAUUAGAUACCCUGGUAGUCCACGCCGUAAACGAUGGAAGCUAGCCGUUGGCAAGUUUACUUGUCGGUGGCGCAGCUAACGCAUUAAGCUUCCCGCCUGGGGAGUACGGUCGC
rnacentral:rRNA from 1 species